CAAUAGCGUAUAUUAAAGUUGUUGCGGUUAAAAAGCUCGUAGUUGGAUUUCUGUCUGGGGAGACCGGUCCGCCCUCUGGGUGAGCAUCUGGCGCUGCCCGGGCAUCCUCUUGGGGAACGUAGUGCACUUGAUUGUGUGGUGCGGUACCCAGGACUUUUACUUUGAGGAAAUUAGAGUGUUUCAAGCAGGCUUCUGCCUUGAAUACAUUAGCAUGGAAUAAUAAGAUAGGACCUCGUCGCUACCUUGUUGGUUUUUAGUGGCUUGGUAAUGAUUAAUAGGGAUAGUCGGGGGCAUUCGUACUUAACUGUCAGAGGUGAAAUUCUUGGAUUUGUUAAAGACGAACUACUGCGAAAGCAUUUGCCAAGGAUGUUUUCAUUGAUCAAGAACGAAAGUUAGGGGAUCGAAGACGAUUAGAUACCAU
rnacentral:rRNA from 1 species